AUGGGAUUUUGCCGCAGCUGCCUUGGUCAUUGUGCUGGGCUGGUUGCGUCGAUCGAUCCAAGAAGCUCCUGGAGCUGGAGAUCCGCAUCAUCCCAGAACUGCAGCAGGCGAUGCAGGCAGAGGAUGACGCAGAAAGCAAAUAAAUUGAAAUCUGAUGUGGCCAAGCUGGACAAGAUGGCCGCCAUGCUGAGGCACGCCCAUGAGGAAGUGGAAGACAUCUUCGAUGAUGCUAAGCAAAAGAUCGUCAGUGGCCAUAUCCUCUAUGGCGCCGUGCAGACCUGCAUUGGUUGCUUCAACAGGAGCUGUCUGGGGAUUACAGGCAUCGCCCAGUGCGGAUCGUCUCGGCUACUGCAAUGGACGCAGAGCAUCUCCGCGUUGCUUCGGUGGUUCCGACGCAUGAAUGGAUUUCUGUUCUCUACCACAUGUUAUGCCCACACCCCCUCAAAUUUCUCGGGGAGAUGGUUCUGUUGCUUGUACAGCUCCUUUGGCUUGUUCAUUAACUGUUGCAGGUCCAUGUUCUACUGGAUAGUUCAUGCGAUUGAGUGUGCCUGCUUGUAUCGAGGCUGGUCCUAUGACGUGGUUGGCAUCAUAGGUUACCAGGCCUCCAUGGAGCUCGGCCUCCAAAAUGCCAUUCUCAUAUAA
rnacentral:rRNA from 1 species